rnacentral:rRNA from 1 species
GACGAACGCUGGCGGCGUGCUUAACACAUGCAAGUCGAACGGAAAGGCCCUUCGGGGUACUCGAGUGGCGAACGGGUGAGUAACACGUGGGUGAUCUGCCCUGCACUUUGGGAUAAGCCUGGGAAACUGGGUCUAAUACCGAAUAGGACCACGCGCUUCAUGGUGUGUGGUGGAAAGCUUUUGCGGUGUGGGAUGGGCCCGCGGCCUAUCAGCUUGUUGGUGGGGUAAUGGCCUACCAAGGCGACGACGGGUAGCCGGCCUGAGAGGGUGACCGGCCACACUGGGACUGAGAUGCGGCCCAGACUCCUACGGGAGGCAGCAGUGGGGAAUAUUGCACAAUGGGCGCAAGCCUGAUGCAGCGACGCCGCGUGAGGGAUGACGGCCUUCGGGUUGUAAACCUCUUUCAAUAGGGACGAAGCGCAAGUGACGGUACCUAUAGAAGAAGCACCGGCCAACUACG